GGAUUCCAUCAUAAUCCUGAUGGGAUCCAUCGAACCUUCGGUAAGUUUUAUUGACCGUCCUUACCUUUGAAAUCUUGCGUUUCUGUCACUUUUGAUGUUUAAUACACUUUGUACUGGUGCUACGCAUCACGUGAUACGUCUUUUGAGCAAUUGGGGUCCUUUCACUCUGUCAUAAGGGCGUCAGAAGAAUGGAACUGGUUGUUCCAUAGCUUCGACAAGAUCAGUGAGGCAUUCCAAAAUCCUAUUGAGUUGAGCGCCAACACAAUGUGCGAGCAUCCAUGAUUGCAACGUGUUUUGGAAACGACAGAACUGUCCGGAUUCACCCAUUUGUAAGAACUUUGUGAUCGUACCAAGUGUGACAUCGUGUCUGGUUCGUUGGCGUCACUAUAUCUCCAAAGGUUAUCCUUGACAUUAAUGAAGUGUGAAUGCUUUCUCA
rnacentral:lncRNA from 1 species